CCUACGGGUGGCAGCAGUGGGGGAUAUUGCACAAUGGGGGAAACCCUGAUGCAGCGACGCCGCGUGAGUGAAGAAGUAUUUCGGUAUGUUAAGCUCUAUCAGCAGGGAAGAAAAUGACAGUACCUGACCAAGAAGCCCCGGCUAACUACGUGCCAGCAGCCGCGGUAAUACGUAGGGGGCAAGCGUUAUCCGGAUUUACUGGGUGUAUAGGGUGCGUAGGCGGGCCUUCAGGCCGGCGGUAAAAUUGCGGGGCUCAACCCCGCCGAGCCGUCGGAACCGGGGGCCUUGAGUACCGGAGAAGUACGCGGAAUGCGUGGUGUAGCGGUGAAAUGCAUAGAUAUCACGCAGAACCCCGAUUGCGAAGGCAGCGUACCGGCCGGUCACUGACGCUGAGGCACGAAAGCGCGGGUAUCGAACAGGAUUAGAUACCCUUGUAGUC
rnacentral:rRNA from 1 species